AAAGUACGAAGUUGUAAAAAACCGUGUGCUCUAGGACCAGUAACGUCUUCCCUUGGCAUUUUUUUUUUGUAAGUAGGAUAGUCCAUGGCCGGGGAUUUAUGAAAUCCUACCGAUCAACACCUGCGAGGUGAGGGUACAGACUUCAAAGUAUCUACAUCCACAAUACACAGGAGAUCAAUCCAUUCGCGCACAUGUAUCUUCUAGUUUAUUCGUGAACGCCAAAACGAGCACUGCGUUGGAAAUAACCGCACAGCGUCCUCUCCAAGUGUUCAUCCUCCUCUUCAGCCCUGGGGAGACAGAAGAUGGCAUUAGGAGCCAUGGGAUGGCAUGGCAACGUGUCCCCAUCCACCUGCCCGAUGGGCAAACGACAGGACAAGCCAAAGGACAAAUCGCAACGCUUCCUCCGACCUGCACCCCUCAUCCCUCUGCGAGCUCGGCCGACUUCCACGUCCAAAGGAACGGGAUGGUCACGCCCGCGCACGCUCUGACACUGACCAGACAUCGCAACCCAGCCCCCGCUGAUGCCUCACGGGCCUUCUG